rnacentral:rRNA from 1 species
UACAGAGACUGCGAGCGUUAUUCGGAUUCACUGGGCGUAAAGGGUGCGCAGGCGGCCAAGUGUGUGAGGCGUGAAAGCCCGGGGCUUAACCCCGGGUCUGCAUUCGAUACGGGCAGACUAGAGUGUGGUAGGGGAGAUCGGAAUUCCUGGUGUAGCGGUGAAAUGCGCAGAUAUCAGGAGGAACACCGGUGGCGAAGGCGGAUCUCUGGGCCAUUACUGACGCUGAGGAGCGAAAGCGUGGGGAGCGAACAGG